GACGAACGCUGGCGGCGUGCUUAACACAUGCAAGUCGAACGGCAACGCAGUGCUUUUGUGGGGUGCCCGGGUGGCGAACGGGUGAGUAACACGUGAGUAACCUGCUCUUGACUUUGGGAUAACUUCAGGAAACUGGGGCUAAUCCCGGAUAGCAUCUCCUGCUGCAUGGAAGGCGUUGGAAAGUUUCGGCGGUUGGGGUUGGACGCGCGGCUUAUCGGCUUGUUGGUUGGGUAGUGGCUUACCAAGCCAUUGGCGGGUCGCCGGCCUGGGAGGGUGACCGGCCACAUUGGGACUGAGAGACGGACCAGACUCCUACGGGAGGCAGCAGUGGGGAAUAUUGCACAAUGGGCGGAAGCCUGAGGCAGCAACGCCGCGUGCGGGAUGACGGCCUGCGGGUUGUAAACCGCUUUCGCCUGUGACGAAGCGGGAGUGACGGUAAUGGGUAAAGAAGCACCGGCUAACUACGUG
rnacentral:rRNA from 1 species